UCCGCACGUACUGGGCUUCAGAAUGCUAACAGUAGCCCAAUAGUUUUCAUGUUGAGCAACGAAACGGACCCCAAUCACACUUUCAUUUUCGUAGCCGUGCAGCCCUAGCUGAUUUCACAUUUACGAAAGCCAAACCUUCGCUAGGGUUUUGUUUUCGGCCUGUCUCACGUGAAGGAGCAUCUCCAUUGAGGGCUAAGGUUCCCUUCCGAACAACAUCACCAACGCAGCCUCAUCUAUCACGUGUGCAACACCUUUGCGUGUUUAGGGUUCUGUUUUACAUCACAGACCAUCUCUCCUUCACGCGUAUGACACCUUAGAGUUCAAUCGAACUAGAGCUAGGGUUUUUCCUUAACCUUGCUUCACCAUAGACAUAGAGCUCCAUUGACGGAGCUCGAGUGGAAACCUCGUUGACUUCUAUCUUCUUUCACCAUUUCCGCUGCGAGAACGAGGGUUUGACAACGUUCUACCGAAACGGUUGUCAUCAUGUGGUAAUCAGAGUUCCGGUUUUGAGCUUGGAGCGAGGAGGUCUUCAAAGAUGAGUAUCUUUGUUCAUUUUCUUCUUCAUUGUUUGUUUUCGUCUUGUUCCUGAUAGAUUGUGUUUUGGCGUCUCUGGUGUUCAAUCUGUGUUGAAAUGUUUCACUAAAAUUGAUUCAAAUUUGUUGUUUCGAAUAGUCUUGAAUCAAUACCGAUGAUAUCAUGUCUUAAGCUGCCUAAUCUACCGUUCAUUGCAAGUCAAUUAGGUUUUUCAAUUUUUUUUACCUAGCUUUAAAUUUUCUAAUCUCGUGUUUUGUCUUAGGAAUUGUUUAGUUGCUUUAUAUGUCACUAAAUUCAAUAGCAGUUAUGCCUUCAAUGUGUUUUGUUCACUGUUUUGUAUUUGUUUUAGUCUAUGUUCUGCUUUCAAUGAUUAAUUUCUUAUUUUUUGUUGAGUUCUUUAAUUGCUAGUAGAUCAAUAGCAAUUUCUGCAGUGUCAAUAUUGUUCUGCUAUAUCGUGCUUGUUGUUGUUUUGCUUACACAUUUGAUGUCUCUGCUUUUGAGUUUCUGUGUUGUUCUAUACUUUGGAUCUGUUGGCCAAGGAUUGUUGUGACCAAAGCAAUUCAUGUGCAUUCCAUCACAGUAUAAUCUGAUAUAUAUCAGAAUUUACAUGUGGACACUCAUGCUUUGGUUUGUUGAUUUAUGAUUAGCCUAGAUAUCUUUUCCUAACGUUUCAUUCAUGAUCUUUGCUUUAGUUGUUGGUUUGUCUUAUGAAUCAAGAUUUUCAGUGUGCAUCUUUGCUUAUACUCAUGAUUGGCUGAGUCAUGCUCUUUAUUGCAGUUUUAGCAUAUUCUGCUUCUGUUACUCGUUGUGAUGUAGCUUUGUGGCUAUCUGAAUCUAAUUUCAAAACUGCAAUUUAUGUCUAUUUGCUUGAGCUGCCAACAUUUGAUUGCAAAUUCUCUUUGAGUCUUGGUUCUGUUGAUGCUCUUUUACACUGUCAUAUUAUCUCAUCAUUGAUGAUUGGUUGCGUAUCCAUUUCAGUCCUGCCAUAUACCACUACAUCUGUUUCAUUACAAAAUUUGUUGCAUCUGUUUGUGGUAUUACAAUGAUUGCCUUGGUUUAGUGCAGCUGUCAUAUGUGUGAUUCACCACAUCCGUUUUGCUUGUGUGAAACAAUUUUGAUUACUGCACUGCCAUGCCAAGAUCUGUUCUUUGUUUUCUUGUGCGUUUCUUUCAAAUUGUUUUUCUGAGUUGGAUCUUUGAAUCUGUCAUAUGCCAUUGACCAUUUGAAUGAAAUUGGAAAACUGCUUUGAAGUGAAUUGUGCUUUAAAAGAUUAGUUGCAUAUGUGAUAUAUGUAAGUUGGAAAGAAAAUCUGUAAAGAAAAACAAAGAAAGAAAAUAUGAUGAGAAAAUCUAGAAUGAAAGAUAUUGUUUGAGUUAUUUGAGUGAAAAGAAAGUGAGACAAAACAGUUCACAACUUUAGUCUUGACUAUCCAUUUCAAAUACAAUUUGCAUAUGUUCUUGAUUCAACUUGUUUUGUGUCUUCUUGAUUUUAGUUUUGUUAAUCUUGUUCUAGACACAUUCCUUAGGUUCUCCUUUGUGUGCUAUCCUUUGUUAAUUUUCCUUUUUCUUGCUUGUCCUUCUUGCUUAUUCAAUUGAGUUUGUCCAUUUAAUUCUAUCACUUGACGUUGUCCAAUUCUUCCAUUGAAGGUUUUCUUGAUUUUUCUGCUUUUUUAUUCUUAUGUGAAGACCGUGAGUGAUCUUGGUUCAUUUGGCUUGAAACUCACUGAUUUGGCAACUUUGUAGGUGGAUUACCUUUCUAUUGAAGGUAGAGCUGAAGGAGGAACUGUGAGGACAAACAAAUUGAGUGGCCACUCGAGAGGAAUUGUAGGAGUGAGCUGGGACUUAAAGAAGGAGUGCAAACAGUUGAGGGAUACAUUUUUGGGGGCUGGCCGAGAGGGAGAAUAGCAAAGAAACUACAACUCGAGUCAACUUUUAUUUAUUUUUAUUUCUGUUUUGAUAUCAUGGAACUUUGUGGUUAAUUUUCUUCUUUUAGUUUCUGUUCAUUUGCUUUGGAAUGGGAAAAUGCAUUACUGCAAUUCCAUUCCUUAGUUGUUUGUAAUAGCUUUUUAAUCGUGUAGUGAGGUCAUUAAGGGGUUCCAAGUGGCACUUGAUUCUUCACUUAGGAAAAUUUUUCGUCUAGUUUAUGUUUUCUUGUUUUUUUCUUUUCUUAUUCUUUAUGUUUUCCAUGUCCAGGUUAUGUGUGUGUUAUGCAUGUUUGAUGUUUUUAUUUUACGUCUCUGUGAUAUCUAGGUGCAAAUCUUUAAACACUUAGUUGACCUUCCUUUGGUCAUAGGAUUUCACACACAAUGAAAGUUGUUUUUCGCAACUAAGAUUUGUCUUGCUGGGAAAUUUUAUUGAGAAUUUUUGUGAAAGAAAUUUAGAGAUUUCUGGCUAGGAAAGGUUUGGUUUCUAAGUCUGUCCAUGAGAUUCACCUCUCUUUCCUGGGAACAUCUCUAGAAAUCUUUUCCUUUAUAUUCUCUUUAAAAUUUCUAAAGUUUUUUUUGUGAAAAAAUUGUUUGAUAAGUGUGUUUGGCAAGAUGAGUUUUCAUUCGUACAGUGAAUUGCAUUUAGGUAGUCAUUGUGAGGAUAAAAUGCAUCAUACACAUGAGAGUACAUUCCCUUUCUUUGAUGAGGACAUAAGUGCAUUAUCAUACAUAUCUUGGGAGAGGGAAAUAGAUGAUUUGGUGCAUUCAUUCCAUCUUAGACAUAAUAAAUACUAUUUUCUUACUUUGUGCAUUUCUAGUUUUGUAGGACAUGCAAAAGAGUGGUGGGAUUAUAGGCAGUCUAGAGUGGAAAAAGGAAGAAAAUCUCCCAUUCAAAAUUGGAGUGAGUUGAGAGCAUGCAUGAGAAGAAUAUUCAUACCACCUUCCUUUGAUUUUGAUCGUGAGAUAGAGAAAAAGAAAAUUGAGAUAGCAAGGUGGAAGGAGGAAAAACUCACAAUACUUUUAAGAGAGAUGAGGGAGUUAGAAGAAAAGAAAGAUUAAGAAUUCAGAGAAGAGAGCAAAAAGAAAGAGAGAAAUUUGAACAAUAAUUGAGAGAAGAAGAGGAACAACAAAGAAAAGAGGAGGAAAAAGAGAGAAAAGAAUUCGAAGAAAAAGAGAGUAAGAAAAGAGAAAGAGUUUAAAAGAAAAGAAGAGAUUGAGAGAAAAUAAUUAAUGCGAAAGGAAGUUGAGAUACAACAUUCUAUCCCUCGUAUAGAUUUCAAGGGAGUAACUCUAUUUUUUAACUCUUCCUUAUUUGUUAUUAAUGCUUUUGUCUUAACUCUCCCUAAAAUUGUUUAUCCACCUUCACCAAUCAUUUCAUACUCCUUAGAGGAUUUUUCAAAACAAACCUUUCACUUAGAAUUAACAUUUUGGACUUAAUUAAGUCAAAGUGAAAAUCAAUAUUUUUGUGAAAUGGACUUCAUUGAAAAUGUUUUUAAACAUAAAAGCCCAUCUUCAUGUAUCUUCAGAAAAUAUACUCUGCAUGGCAUCCAAAAUUUUAAUGAAAUCUUAUUUGAUGACUAUUGUAGAUAUAUUUUUGAUCCAGGAGGAAUCCAGUUGUUGAUGUUGUGGGUCUUAAUUAACCUUCUAGAUAUGAGGACAGAUCCUUUUGAAGAGGGAGGGGAUGAUGAAUAUCACCCUAAGACGUCAUGGCUUGGGUCAUUGGCUAGGCCCAUUAUUUAUUUAUUUAUUUGUUUUUAAAUAGAUUAAUAAAUGUAUAGGAUUAGUAUUUCUGUGGUAUAGUUAGUAAUUUUCAUGGGUUUGUAUUCUAGGCCCAAUUGUGGUUUCAUUAUUUUUUUCUUGUAAUCUUUUUGGCACCAUGGGUCUGCUCCACCAACACGUGAAAUACAACAUCAGUGUGCAAUGUUGGGCCUAAAGUACAUCAGCCCAAUUUUCAUCCACGUGAAUUAGACAUAUGGCAUCCACCUAACCAUCAAUUUUGCAUCCGCGCGUACUGGGCUUCAGAAUGCUAAUAGUAGCCCAAUAGCUUUCAUGUUAAGCAACGAAACAGACCCCAAUCACACUUUCAUUUUCGUAGCCGUGCAGCCCUAGCUGAUUUCACAUUUACAAAAGCCAAACCUUCGCUAGGGUUUUGUUUUCGGCCUGUCUCACGUGAAGGAGCAUCUCCAUUGAGGGCUAAGGUUCCCUUCCGAACAACAUCACCAACGCAGCCUCAUCUAUCACGUGUGCAACACCUUUGCGUGUUCAGGGUUCUAUUUUACAUCACAUACCAUCUCUCCUUCACGCGUAUGACACCUUAGGUUAGGUUUUUAAUUCUUUUCUUUCGUUAAUCUUCUCGGCUGCCUUUCUUCAUCUAUAAAAGGCAAGCCACUUCGUGUAAUGAUUCAACUUUGAAAAUAUAUGAGAGUGAUUAGCUUUGUUGCUUUA